GCCAGGCAUGGUGGUGCAUGCCUGUAAUCCCAGCAACACAGGAGACUGAGACAGGAGGACAGGGAUUCAAAGCCAGCCUCAGCAAUGACAAGGAGAUUAGCAACUCUGUGAGACCCUGUCUCUA
rnacentral:sRNA from 1 species